rnacentral:tRNA from 1 species
UCUAAUGUGGCAGAAUAGUGCAAUGGCCUUAAACCCCAUACAUAAAGUUUCUCUUUCUUUAGA